GAUGAACGCUAGCGGCAGGCCUAAUACAUGCAAGUCAAGGGGAUAGCAAUAUCACCGGCGGACGGGUGCGUAACGCGUACACAACGUGCCCAAGGGCGGAGGAAAGCGGCGGGAAACUGCCGGUAAUACUCCAUGGUGUUGUUGAGUGGCAUCACUUAACAACGUAAAGUACAAGCGCCCUUGGAUCGGUGUGCGUUCGAUUAGCUAGUUGGCGGGUAACGGCCCACCAAGGCUCCGAUCGAUAGGGGGUGUGAGAGCAUGACCCCCCCACACGGGUACUGAGACACGGACCCGACUCCUACGGGAGGCAGCAGUAAGGAAUAUUGGACAAUGGGCGAAAGCCUGAUCCAGCCACGCCGCGUGAGUGAUGAAGGCCUUCGGGUUGUAAAGCUCUGUCGUAGGGGACGAAAGGGGAAACCGUUUGACGGUACCGUUACAAGGAAGCACCGGCUAACUCCGUGCCAGCAGCCGCGGUAAU
rnacentral:rRNA from 1 species